UCAGAGAGCUGAUGGCAUCGAAGUUGCAUCAACUGCAAUCCAAGGCUGCUCAAGCUUCACAGUUCGUGGCCAAGCAUGGAACUGCUUACUAUAAGCAGUUGCUGGAGCAGAACAAGCAGUACAUCCAGGAACCUCCUACUGUCGAGAAAUGUAACCUGCUGUCUAAACAACUAUUUUACACUCUUCUUGCCAAGUGGUCAGGUGUUUACUGAUAGAGCCAUUCCCAGAAUUGGCCCUGAAUGAACAGUCUUGGAACCAUUUUAGAAUUGGUCGCUGGUGGGGUGUCCGAGACAGCCUCUGCUACAGAACAUUUUGCUUCAAGGACAUUUCUUUGAAGAGUAUUAUCUCUUAGAGCAUUGGAUGCAGAAUUAGGAUCUCAUAAGAAAGCUGAUCCAUCAUGGGAAGACAAAAAAUGUUGUUGACUUUGCAUAUGCUUUUGACCUUGUAGACGACUUCCAUCCCGGGCCCCUUUUGAAGGCCUACAUGAAUACAUCCAAGAAGGCUGCUCAGGAGGUUGUAUACCAGACCUUGUGAAAACCACAAAGGCUGAAGAGUCUGCUGCUGUUUGUGUUGAGAUUUCGAGUCCCUUGGACUGAGGGAGAAAACUCAUCUCUGAUUUUCUUCUUUCUUUAUCUUUUCUAUCCAUUUUUCAUGUUUUAUGGAUUGGGAUUCCAAGUCUAUUUGACUGAGAAUUGAAGACUCUUUUUGGGUUUUCUUGGGUUUUAUUUGAGAGGAAAAACCCAUUAAAAUAUUGUAGCUAAUGUUGUGGAU